UACGUAGGGUGCAAGCGUUAAUCGGAAUUACUGGGCGUAAAGCGUGCGCAGGCGGUCUUGCAAGACAGAUGUGAAAUCCCCGGGCUUAACCUGGGAACUGCAUUUGUGACUGCAAGGCUGGAGUGCGGCAGAGGGGGAUGGAAUUCCGCGUGUAGCAGUGAAAUGCGUAGAGAUGUGGAGGAAUACCGAUGGCGAAGGCAGCCCCCUGGGAUAACACUGACGCUCAUGCACGAAAGCGUGGGGAGCAAACAGG
rnacentral:rRNA from 1 species